rnacentral:rRNA from 1 species
GACGAACGCUGGCGGCGUGCUUAACACAUGCAAGUCGAACGGAAAGGCCCUGCUUGCCGGGUACUCGAGUGGCGAACGGGUGAGUAACACGUGGGUGAUCUGCCCUGCACUUCGGGAUAAGCCUGGGAAACUGGGUCUAAUACCGGAUAGGAGCCAUUUUUAGUGUGAUGGUUGGAAAGUUUUUUCGGUGUAGGAUGAGCUCGCGGCCUAUCAGCUUGUUGGUGGGGUAAUGGCCUACCAAGGCGGCGACGGGUAGCCGGCCUGAGAAGGUGGACGGCCACAUUGGGACUGAGAUGCGGCCCAGACUCCUACGGGAGGCAGCAGUGGGGAAUAUUGCACAAUGGGCGCAAGCCUGAUGCAGCGACGCCGCGGGGGGGAUGACGGCCUUCGGGUUGUAAACUCCUUUCGCUAGGGACGAAGCUUUUUGUGACGGUACCUAGAUAAGAAGCACCGGCUAACUACGUG